AGCCCUCACCUUGCAACGUAGCCACGAAGAAAGGACCUUCGUUAUCCACCCCAACACCUGAGGCCUCCCCCGAGACAUCCACCUCUUCACCCGAGGCCUCUGUCCAGCCAUCCACCCCAGCCACACCUGAGGCCUCCCCCGAGACAUCCACCUCUUCACCCGAGGCCUCUGUCCAGCCACCCACCCCAACACAUGAGGCCUCCCCCGAGACAUCCACCCCAGCCACACCUGAGGCCUCCCCCGAAACAUCCACCUCUUCACCCGAGGCCUCUGUCCAGCCAUCCACCUCUUCACCCGAGGCCUCUGUCCAGCCAUCCACCCCAACACCCGAGGCCUCUGUCCAGCCACCCACCCAAACACAUGAGGCCUCCCCCGAGACAUCCACCUCAGUUUCUCCGCUCCCCAGUGUACCGGCUCUGUCCACCCCUCCAGCCGCCAUGAGGCUGGCAUCUCCUCUGUCCCGCAGGGGCCGGAAGAAAAGGCAGAGGGCGCAGAGGGGGAAGCACGACAGGCAGAGGUGGCAGAGAGGGCAGAGGGGGCAGUACGACAGGCAGAGGGGGCAGAGAGGGCAGGACGACGGGCAGAUGAUCCGGCUGGACGGGCAGAGGAGGCAGGACGACGGGCAGAGGGGGCAGAGAGGGCAGGACGACGGGCAGAUGAUCCGGCAGGAAGGGCGCAGGCUGGACGGGCAGAAGAAGAAGAUGGUGUUCAGGGAUGAGUAUUCUAGAUUUGGUGAGCUGGUGGCUGCUAUGAUGAGCAGGGUGCAGGAAGAUAAGAGGGCCGAAGCAAUGCACUCUGUGUACAGCCUGUUGGACAGAAGCAAUGCACUCUGGGUACAGCCUGUUGGACUGAAGCAAUGCACUCUGGGUACAGCCUGUUGGACUGAAGCAAUGCACUCUGGGUACAGCCUGUUGGACUGAAGCAAUGCAGACUGUGUACAGUGUGACGACCCCUCCACGCCACUAGGGGUCUUUUCCCUCUUGCUGGCUCUUUUCCAGGUUUCCUGUUUGGAGUGGUGGGUCAUCAGCCCGGUUUGGCUCUGUGGCCGGUGUGGCUCUGUGGCCUAUAUCAGCACUCCUUCUCCAGUUCCCGGGAGAGAUCCCUUCCCCGUUGCAGACGGCUGCGUUUUGACUGUUGUUAUUCUUAUUUCAUUAUCUUUGUAAUAAAUGAUUGUUACUUCGUUCAUCCCUCGUCCGUCUCCCAUUUUAGUUGACACAGCUUAUGAGUCAGGCUGUGUCACAACAGCAUGUUGUACUGAAUCAAUGCACACAGUGUACAGCAUGUUGAACGAAUACAACUUUUCUUCUUUUGCGUAGUAUUGAAAAUAAAACACCAAUCAGGUUUUGAA
ensembl:lncRNA